UUGCGCUAUCAGAUGAGCCUAGGUCGGAUUAGCUAGUUGGUGAGGUAAUGGCUCACCAAGGCUACGAUCCGUAACUGGUCUGAGAGGAUGAUCAGUCACACUGGAAGGGAGACACGGUCCAGACUCCUACGGGAGGCAGCAGUGGGGAAUAUUGGACAAUGGGCGAAAGCCUGAUCCAAACAGGCCGCGUGUGUGAAGAAGGUCUUCGGAUGUAAAGCAAUUGAGCGGGAGGAAGGGCAUUAACCUAAUACGUUA
rnacentral:rRNA from 1 species